GACGAACGCUGGCGGCGUGCUUAACACAUGCAAGUCGAACGGUGAAGCGCCUUCCUUUUUGGCGGGUGUGGAUGAGCGGCGAAGGGGUGAGUAACACGUGAGUAACCUGCCCCCUUCUUCUGGAUAACCGCAUGAAAGGGUGGCUAAUACGGGCUACUCUGGGUCUGUUGCAUGCUGGGUCUGGGGAAGAUCUUGUUUCGGUGGGGGCUGGGCUCGGGGGCUAGCUGCUUGUUGGUGGGGUGAGGGCGUCCCACGGCGGUGACGGGUAGCCGGCCGCGGAGGGUGGACGGCCAGAGUGGGAGUGAGGCACGGCCGAGACUGCUAAGGGGGGCAGCAGUGGGGAGGAGUGAACAGUGGGGACAAGCCUGAUGCAGCGACGCCGCGUGAGGGAUGGAGGCGUGCGGGUUGUGAACCUCUUUCGCCAGUGAAGCAGGCCUGCCUCGUUUGUAGGGGGGGUGACGGUAGCUGGAGAAGAAGCACCGGCUAACUACGUG
rnacentral:rRNA from 1 species